UACGUAGGGUGCGAGCGUUAAUCGGAAUUACUGGGCGUAAAGCGUGCGUAGACGGUUAUGUAAGUCAGAUGUGAAAGCCCCGGGCUCAACCUGGGAACUGCAGUUGAUACUGUCCGACUAGAGUACGAGAGAGGGAGGUAGAAUUCCAUGUGUAGCGGUGAAAUGCGUAGAUAUAUGGAGGAAUACAAGUGGCGAAGGCGGCCUCCUGGCUCGAUACUGACGCUGAGGUGCGAAAGCGUGGGGAUCAAACAGG
rnacentral:rRNA from 1 species